rnacentral:lncRNA from 1 species
AUUCCAGGCAAUUCAGGGCCAAUCUUGGCGAAUUAUAUGCAAAUUUAAUGACAGAAAGAAAAGAAGAAACAUCAAUUGAAGGCAACUGCUUAACAAUUACAGCCCCUUUCCCUGCAAUCCCUCCGUCUGAGCUGGCUGGGGAGUCAGGGCUCAGGGCUCACAGCCUGGGAACUUCUGGCCAAAGGAAGCCAGCCAGGGAAAGCCCUGCCCUGGGUUGGGUCUUUGACCCCAUCUCCAAGAGAUUCUGCCGGUGAACGCAGCAUUCACAGCGGCGUGGUGGGGGAAGCUCCCCAUCCAUGGCCACCUUCCAGAGAUGAUCUGAGCUGGAAGAGAGACCCACAGCAGCUUCCCCGAAGCAGAAUAGCCCAUUUGACCUCCGGAAGCAGUCACAUCUGGCCCAAGGAGUCUGAGUUCUCGCCAGGAUGGAGGGAAGAGCCCGAGAAGCUGUUUCCAUAGGAACCUCGAACUCCCCUGAAUUCUGGAACACAUCAGGGAAGUGUUGCUUCCAAGGUGAUAGCUGACGAUGAGUAUUGCUUUCUUACAGUGAGACUAAGAUUAGCAGUAAGGGGAAUGAUUUUUUCUUAAAGGGGGAAUGGUAGUGCCUUUGGGAUUUAGAGAUGGGGGCAACUCUUCUUUUACCUGAGCCUCAAGAGCUGCCUGGAGUACAAACAAAGAGAUUAAGUCCUUCACCUAAGGUCCCACCAAUCAGUCCAUCAAAAGGCCCUACUAAGUGCCAGGCACUAGAGAAACAAAAAGAAAACGAAACAAUCCUUCCUCUCUUUUGUAAAAGACAGGACUUGGAUUUAGGUCUUCUGGACACCAAGGCUUCUGGAGGGUCAUUGGGAUGAUGGUGGUGGGAGUGACUUCAACAAAUGUUCAAGUGUCUGAAUCAUGCAGAAGACUCUGCCUAGGGAAAAUCCAAGUUUAGUCUUCAAGUCAAUUCUUAUCUCCAUGGAUUACAACUAGUAGGGAAAGAAGUCAUACACAGAGAGCUGUAAUAUACACUAUUACAUGAUAAAUGCCCCUUCUUCGCCCAGUGCUCAAGAUCUUCCCUUAGGAGCCAGGUGAAUAUAACAUCCUUGAGGGCAGGAACUAUCUUUUGCCUCUUUAGGUAUCCCAAGAGCUUAGCAUAGUGCCUGGCACAUAGUAGGCACUUAAUAAAUAUUAUUAAUCCA